GGCUGUUCGGCUGCUUGCCAAUAAAGAGUCAUGUAGGCCGAAAGGAGAAAUCAUAAAUAAUAGAAAGCAUUAUAUGGACAUGCGUUUCUGGAGAAUGGUUGGUUUUGGUAAACUUCCAAAGUACCAUCAGGAUCCUACAACAGAAGAGUUAGCCAAAACACUCGAUUGUUGGCCAUCAAUGAAUUAUUAUAUCACGGGUUGUAGAUAUGUUCUUAUGCCAUG